rnacentral:rRNA from 1 species
CGUACACUCCUACGGGAGGCAGCAGUGGGGAAUAUUGGACAAUGGGCGCAAGCCUGAUCCAGCCAUGCCGCGUGAGUGAUGAAGGCCCUAGGGUUGUAAAGCUCUUUUGUGCGGGAAGAUAAUGACGGCACCGCAAGAAUAAGCCCCGGCUAACUUCGUGCCAGCAGCCGCGGUAAUACGAAGGGGGCUAGCGUUGCUCGGAAUCACUGGGCGUAAAGGGUGCGUAGGCGGGUCUUUAAGUCAGGGGUGAAAUCCUGGAGCUCAACUCCAGAACUGCCUUUGAUACUGAAGAUCUUGAGUUCGGGAGAGGUGAGUGGAACUGCGAGUGUAGAGGUGAAAUUCGUAGAUAUUCGCAAGAACACCAGUGGCGAAGGCGGCUCACUGGCCCGAUACUGACGCUGAGGCACGAAAGCGUGGGGAGCAAACAGGAUUAGAAACCCCGGUAGUCCC